GUCUUUGACAGUUUGGUUGGUAGAGCAAGAGAUUCUUAAUCUUAGGGUUGUGGGUUCAAGCCCCACAUUGGACG